GCAUAUAUGUAUGUGUGUAUGUAUAUAUCAGUCUUCAUUUACAUUCUGUGUCUUCUGUUGUUGUACGAAUUCGUUAGGCUUAGGCAUUUUGUAAAUAAUCUAUAAAUAGUACGUAUUCCUAAGAGAGACCCUGCCCCUCCCCUCCACCACACUAAGAACCCAACUGUCAGCCCAAAAACACUUUUAAACUAACUUGAGAAUUAAUCAAAUUGUAUGAAACUAUGCCACACACUCCACACACACACAUGAAAUAAAAUUAAACAUAUAUAAAUAUUGUAUAGCAUUUAACAUUUAAUUAGCAUAAAUAAUGAAGGCAGCACACAGAAAACAAAAAAUGGUAAAAGCAUACAAAAAGAAAAAAGAACAUGAGAAUGCAAUUAUUAUUCAAUAAUUUUUAAUAUUAGUUAUAUUGUGCGUAAAGUAUGAAAAAAACACAUUUUUACAUUGAGCUAAGCUAAUUAAUUAAACUUGAUAAAACAAAUAGUUUAAAUAUGAAAAAAAAACACACUGAUACAAAUGAAAUUUAUUGUAAAAUAAACACAAUAUGAAAUUCAAUAAAUGUCAAUGCAAGAAUUAAAAUCCAAACUCUAAAGCUAGUUAAAAUUAAUACUAUUAUAAAUCAUGCAAAACACAAAAAAAAAAAACAGCCACAAAACCGACUAUUUUAAUGUUUGAAAUACAUGAAAAAAGUAAA